rnacentral:tRNA from 1 species
GGAGAGAUGGCUCAGAGGUUAAGAGCACUGCUUGCUCUAGUAGAGGUCCUGAGUUCAAUUCCCAUUCUCUCUA